CUCCCUCCCUCUUUCUGAAACCUUCAGGAGUGCAAAAAUGACAUGCUAAUACUUUCGCAUAACCAGUGCAUAUCUCAGAUGUAAAGUCAGUCUUCUCAAGAGGCUUCUACAGUCUUGCAAUCCCCUGCAUGAACAAUUUGGGAAGGUAUGAUUCAGGCAACCAGUUUGUAACCAGGGGCCAUAAAGAGAGCACUAACUACUGCUACAUCCUGGGAUUGUGGUUAGAGCAAUUGGCACAAGAUGGAUGCUGGUUGUGUCUUCUACCGUUAUAAGCCAGAAUAUUAAAAAUGAAAAAAAAAUGAAAAAUACCAGAAGAAAAACAAGUGGUACGGGAAAAGCACUCCUGUUUCUACAGUUUCUGCAGUUUCUAGAUGAUCUUCAAGGAGAGUCCCUUGUAGAGUGCAUUGCAGUCAUCUAACCAACCACUGGCAAGGAUUUGAAUGACUAUUGCCAGCACAUUCUGUUCCAGAAAUGACCACAAAUCUAGGCAAAUACCCUCCUGACAUACUCACAACUGCUUUUCUAGUAUUUAUUGUUUGUUUAUUUUUUUAUAUCCGGCCUUAUUUUUUUUAUAAACAAGACAAGAUGGUGAAUAGGUCCAACACACCUUCCUCCUUCCCUUUCCCCCCACAAAAAACAACCCUGUGAGGUGAAUUGGGCUGAGAGUUAGUGACUAGCCCAGCUGAUUUUAAUGGCUAAAGUGGGACUAGAACUCACAAUCUCCUGGUUUUUAGUCUGAUGCUUUAACUAUUAGAUCAAAUUGGCUAACAGGAGCUGAGAGUCCAGGAAAAUCCCCUAAUUAUAUACCUGUUAUUUAUUGGGGAGCGCAGGUCCAUCAAAAAGCUAAGAUUGAUAUUGUCUCAUGCUCAGUCAGCCUCUGAAUCAAUAGCUACUCCAUCUUGCCAUGGUUAAGUACCAACCUAUUUCUCCCCAUCUUACAGCUUCCAGACACCUUGUUUAACGUCUAUUAGAAUUUCCAAAUGGCCUAGGGUAAAGAUGCAGAGCUGAGCAUCAUCAGCAUAGUGAGGAUAAUGGGCCCAACUGUCAAAUAACAUGUAAGUGGUUUCAUGUGGUUGUUAAAGAAAAUGUGGGAGAAAGCUGAGCAUGAGGGUGUGUGAGAACCUGUGGGAAUGUGCAGAGGAAUGCAGAUUAGGUAUGGAGAAGCAACACAGUCUAGAAGUAAGAGCUGUGAAAAGAAAGCAUUUGAAUGACAUAGUACCUUAAUUAACUCACUAAAAAUAUGACUGGGAAUUUACUUGUAUGGUUUUCAAUAUUGUAUUUUAUCCCAGCUGAGCAUUAAAGAUGCCUUUCUGAAA